UACGUAGGGUGCAAGCGUUGUCCGGAAUUAUUGGGCGUAAAGAGCUCGUAGGCGGUCUGUUGCGUCGGCUGUGAAAACCCGGGGCUCAACUCCGGGCCUGCAGCCGAUACGGGCAGACUAGAGUUCGGCAGGGGAGACUGGAAUUCCUGGUGUAGCGGUGAAAUGCGCAGAUAUCAGGAGGAACACCGGUGGCGAAGGCGGGUCUCUGGGCCGAUACUGACGCUGAGGCGCGAAAGCUAGGGGAGCAAACAGG
rnacentral:rRNA from 1 species